AGAUACACACUCACUAGCACAGGAGUCAAACCCAUUUCUUCCAUCUCCAUUUUCAAAUCCUUUCAUCUUCUUCAUAAUCAAAAAGCUUUCUUUAGAAAUCCAUAAAAAUAUGUUGCUAAAGGCUGCUCCUGCUUUCUCUUUGCUGAGCACUCAUGGAGACAAUCUGGGUCCUCUGUUUUCCUCUGUUUCUUCGUCGUUUAAUAGUCUUUCUCCUACGAUUUUUCGUGGAAAAACUGGGACUGGGUUUGUUCUCUGUGCAUCAAAGGGUUCAAAUGACAAGCCGUUGACUGGGGUUAUUUUUGAGCCCUUUGAAGAGGUAAAGAAGGAGCUCAGUUUGGUCCCUACUGUCCCUCAAGUUUCUCUUGCUAGACAGAAGUAUUCUGAUGAGUGUGAAGCCGCCAUUAAUGAACAGAUCAAGUGAGUGUUCCUUCUUGGGGUAAUUUUGGUUAUUCUUGAUUUUGUUUGUUUUGUGUUUGCUCAAAAAAAAAUGAUCGGUUGAUAGGGGACUAGAUUUAGUGUUUCUUUCAUGAUUUGAUUGUGUCGUUUUGUUAUUAUACUGAACUGUUUUUUCUUAUAGAUUUUGCUUCUCAUGUUUCUUUUGUUUGUGAUUUUCUUUGGUUUGUGUAACUUGGAACUCGAUUUUCGUGGAUUUCUUUUACACUCUUUAAUGGUCUUAUUUCUGGCUUCGUGGUUGUUUGCCAUAUAUAUUUCUUUUAGUUUUGAGCUGGGAUUCCGUUGCAUUUCUUUCUGUCUGUGUUUUUUUCUCCCCUAGAACGCAUUUCCGAGUAAAUUGGGUGCCAUGAUGUCUUCAGUAGAACUCUAAUAUAUAGAUUUAUAUAUCCGUUUAUCUUUCUAAUGAUUGUGUUACGUUUGGAAGGACAGUGUGGAGUACAAUGUCUCCUACGUGUACCAUGCCAUAUUUGCUUAUUUUGACAGGGACAAUGUUGCUCUCAAGGGUCUUGCCAAGUAAAAGAUUUCUCUCCGAAUUUUCUAGUUGUCUUCUUCUUCUUUUUUUUUUUGGGGGAUAAAAAUAGCUUGUGGCUUUGUUAAACAGGUUUUUCAAGGAAUCAAGUGUUGAAGAAAGAGAGCAUGCUGAGAAAUUGAUGGAAUACCAGAACAAAAGGGGUGGAAAAGUUAAGUUGCAGUCUAUCGUGAUGCCUCUUUCAGAGUUUGAUCAUGCGGAGAAGGGAGAUGCAUUGUAUGCAAUGGAGCUUGCUUUGUCUCUGGAAAAAUUAACAAAUGAGAAGCUCCUGAACUUACACAGCGUGGCUGAGCAGAAUCAUGAUGCGCAAUUGACAGAUUUCAUUGAGAGCGAGUUCUUAGCAGAGCAGGUGGAAGCCAUCAAAAAAAUUUCUGAAUAUGUUGCUGAGCUGAGAAGAGUGGGCAAAGGACAUGGUAUGAAACCAAACUCUCUUCUUUCAUAGCCAUUUUUUUCAUAACCAUUUUUCUUAAACAAUGUUCUCUUACCAUUCCAUCAUACAUGAAUUUUUCUUCAGACAAAUCGUCAUCCUUUAAAUACAUGAGCUUUUUCUUGUGUUUUUCUGUUUUCUAAAUUUGUUUUGGUGGAUUACCAGGUGUAUGGCACUUCGACCAGAUGCUGCUUCACGAGGAAGAGGCUGUUGUUGCAUAAUGAUGGAAACAUCUUGUUUGCUGCUUAAUUGCCAUUUUGAGGGUUAUUCAUUCUAUCAUUUUGAGGGCUGUGUUUAGCUCAUAUAUUAGAUGAUAUUGAUAGAUAUGAUAGACGAAUUAAAAAUGGAUUUAGUCCCCUUACUUGACAAUGGUCAUCCCGUUUAAAAUAGUUGAAAUAUAUGGAUAUCGUCUAUUUCUAUUUUUUAUGGUGUCUUUGUUGCUAACACAAAGUAUUGACAAUGGCAUAAUGCUAUAUGAUUCAUUGUAUGGUUACAUAGAACACUGAAUUCUUAGCCAUGCUUAAAUGGAAUAAUGAGUCAAUUUCACUCGUAGGCUUGUGGUUCCUGUGCCUGGACUAUGAUAUGCUAGAGUCCAAGAAAUUCUUGUUGCAGUUCAUUUAUCUCUUCUAUUGAGCACUUUAAGAGAUAACAGUAGCAUUCUUUUGGUCGGUCCCCACCGUAUCCUUCCCAGGCCAUGCUCUUUUUGACAUAUUUGUGGUAUUCCUCGUGCUUAAGUGGUUCUGGCUGCAAUCAAUGUGCAGAUCAGCUUGCUUAGAUGAUGUGUAGUUUUAUCCAUGUGGGGUUUAAGCAUGCCUCAAGAAUUUCUCACUGUGGCAUGUCUUAUUCAAUUGCUUAUCAGAGUAAUCAUGUUGGAACGUUGUAGUGGCUUCCAGCUGCACUGGAAAGGGAAGGGUUCGUUGGCAAUUGAAAUAUGGGAGGUAAGCCAUAGCUUGGACUUCUCUUUCAGGCUAUAGGAAAACGCAGACAGGGUUUAUUUGGAGGUUUAGAUACGUCGAGGUCACAAACAAUGCAAAGGACGUAUUUAUUGGUUAUUAGAUGUGCUCACU
rnacentral:misc_RNA from 1 species